UGAACGCUGGCGGUAGGCCUAACACAUGCACGUCGAACGGCAGCACAGUAAGAGCUUGCUCUUACGGGUGGCGAGUGGCGGACGGGUGAGGAAUACAUCGGAAUCUACUUUUUCGUGGGGGAUAACGUAGGGAAACUUACGCUAAUACCGCAUACGACCUACGGGUGAAAGCAGGGGAUCUUCGGACCUUGCGCGAUUGAAUGAGCCGAUGUCGGAUUAGCUAGUUGGCGGGGUAAAGGCCCACCAAGGCGACGAUCCGUAGCUGGUCUGAGAGGAUGAUCAGCCACACUGGAACUGAGACACGGUCCAGACUCCUACGGGAGGCAGCAGUGGGGAAUAUUGGACAAUGGGCGCAAGCCUGAUCCAGCCAUACCGCGUGGGUGAAGAAGGCCUUCGGGUUGUAAAGCCCUUUUGUUGGGAAAGAAAAGCAGCAGGUUAAUACCCCGCUGUUCUGACGGGACCCAAAGAAUAAGCACCGGCUAACUUCGU
rnacentral:rRNA from 1 species